GGGCCUAUAGCUCAGGUGGUUAGAGCGCUUCGCUGAUAACGAAGAGGUCCCUGGUUCAAGUCCAGGUAGGCCCA
rnacentral:tRNA from 1 species